rnacentral:rRNA from 1 species
UACAGGGGGGGCAAGCGUUGUUCGGAAUUACUGGGCGUAAAGGGCGCGUAGGCGGCCUGCUAAGUCGAACGUGAAAUCCCCGGGCUCAACCCGGGAACUGCGUCCGAUACUGGCAGGCUUGAAUCCGGGAGAGGGAUGUGGAAUUCCAGGUGUAGCGGUGAAAUGCGUAGAUAUCGGGAGGAAUACCGAUGGCGAAGGCAGGUCUCUGGGCUGACACUGACGCUCAUGCACGAAAGCGUGGGGAGCAAACAGG